rnacentral:rRNA from 1 species
UACAGAGGAUGCAAGCGUUAUCCGGAAUGAUUGGGCGUAAAGCGUCUGUAGGUGGCUUUUUAAGUCCGCCGUCAAAUCCCAGGGCUCAACUCUGGACAGGCGGUGGAAACUACCAAGCUGGAGUACGGUAGGGGCAGAGGGAAUUUCCGGUGGAGCGGUGAAAUGCGUAGAGAUCGGAAAGAACACCAACGGCGAAGGCAGCCUUCUGGGCCAACACUGACGCUCAUGCACGAAAGCGUGGGGAGCAAACAGG